rnacentral:lncRNA from 1 species
GUUCCGACUUUGGACCUUUAGUUAAGUGUCGAAAGGGACUUGGAUUGAUACCAAAUUUUUCAGUAUAAUACUCCUAUAUGAAAGGUAUCUCCUAUAUGUGAAGUUUUGGUUGAAUCUAUGGAGGCUUGGUAGUGAUUUGGUGAAUUUGUAGAAGGAAUGGUGAAGCUGUUACGGCUGAAGCUAUCCGUCCAUUGCAGCUAGAAGAAAUGAGAUGCGGUUCUGGUUUCCUUUGCUUACAAAAGACGCUUGACGUCUAAUAUUUUAAAUACGUCAAAUCAAUUACAACUAGUGCCCUACGCGCACGUUUCAUGUUCGAUUUCUCUUACGUUUGUUACACUAGUGCACUAAACCUCUAGGGCACUUACAUUCAUAUAAAUAUUAUUCAUUCUUAAUUGUCCCAAAAUAAUGGUCCAAACGUGAAAACACAUAUUCCCAAUUUAGGCGCAAUAAAAUGAAACUUUCGAGAAAUUCUUAUAACGAUCGUACCACCAACUAUCACUUGAGUACUUAAAUCUAAAUUUACCUAUUUUAGAACCAUUGUACAUGUCUCCAAAUUUCCGAGCUUAUUGUACUCCUAAUUGGCUAAAGUUUUCAGACACGUUUUCACUUUUUCACUAAACAAGCUUCUAAGAAAAUAAUUUUUGAAACGAGACACUUUAAAAAUAUAACGAAGCUAUAAAACCAUAUAUUUAGGUCUAAUAAGAAUAGAAAAUAAUAUUCGGGGCAAAAAUCCAAAUAGAUAAUUAAUUGAGCCAAAAUUAGGGGUUUAAAAAUAAUAAUUUUACGAGUCCUCACGUGAAUUGAGUAUUAAUUCCUCAAUUAACCUUUCUUAAUCUAUUAUUGAUCGUUCUUAAUUCUCCAAUAUUAAUACACUCUCUGUAGACACCAAAUUUUUGGUGUAAUUUCAUUUACUGUUUAUUUUUAGUUUUUUAUUUGUCGUGCUAGUUUUAUUCGAUUUUUAGUUUUUAGUUUAUGGUUUUAUUUUUAUUUUUAAGUUAUUAGCAUAGAAUUUCUUGAAAUGAAAAAAGAGGAAAAGGAAAAAUCAUGAAAAAAAAAGGAAAAAGGAAUGCUUAGCUCCUUCUUCCCAAAAGCCCGCAGCUUCUCUUUCAUCAACCCCAGCCCUCGACUAGUUUUCUGGUUUGCCCUCUUUCAAAAACUCUUCUCUAAGCCGUCCAUCUCUCCUUUCUGUUUUCUUUUGCUGUCCCCCCAGAACCUCUCCAAAAACUCUCGGCUCUCUCCUGCUCUCACUCUCUCAACCUCCUUUCUAAAACCCUCGCUUGGUUUCUUUUUUUCCUGAUGCCCGUCACUCUUUCCGUCCAAAUCCCCCCCCCCAAAUGCAAUGCAAGCGCGAGAUAACAAGUAAACAUACAUCCAAUCAACCAAUCACACAUACGUGAGUGAGGGAAUAGUUGGAUACGCGCGCGAUGCGAAAAAGUCCUAAAAUAAAAAAUGCAACCCUAAUAUCCAAAUGCAAUGCAUAAAAAGGGUAGAAAAAGGAAACGAAUGGCUAAGUCAAAUGCUCGGACCCACUUAGGAAGUCCCCAGUGGAGUCGCCAACUGUCGCGCCCCCAAUUCCCCUAGGUCUAGGGUUUGCAUUCAUGUAGGGCACUCAAAUGUAAUAAAUUCUUUGGUUAAAACAAGAAAAUAUUUGAUUAAAUCAACGCAACUAGCCUUGGCUAGGUCAAAGGGGUGCCUUGGAUUCUAUCCUUGCCUUCCCCUUUGUCAAACGUGACUCCCGAACCUUUUUCUUUGGUUUACGUAGACUAGGAGUCGUUUUAAAAAGGGUUUAUUACUACUUGACUUUAAAACUCAUUUUUGGGUGACUUGGUACACCUUAAACCAUUACCAAGUGGCGACUCCAAACUUUUCAUUUCAAAACCCUUUUUAAAACUAUUUUUUUGGCCAAAUCGUCGCUUUCCAAAGUCCCAUGGCCUUUACUUUUACUUUGCACACGUUCACACACCACACUUCACACUCAUACAUUUCGACGAUCGAAAAGUGGGGCGCGACACUCUCGAUUCGAAUAUAGUCUCGAAAAACGUGCACUCGUUGUUCCGAACUAAACGAGUUUUCGAAAAGUGAAUUUUUUCAACAAAACGCUUUUAAAAAUAUAAAAGAUGCGUCGUUCCAUAUAAAUGGAUUUUAAAUGAUCGAAAUAAAUAAUUUGGAGAAAAAUGAGUAAAUAAAUAUUUAAACAAACUACUAAUAUUCGAUAAAAAUAAAAAUAAAAAAUUUCGGGUCCUCACAUCCUCCCCUCCUUAAAAGAAUUUCGUCCUCGAAAUUCACACUUUGGAUAAUAGUCAUACCCCUUAAGAGUCAUGCCUUUCAAAUUAAUCACUAACUUACACCCUCCGAUCCAUAUAUCACAAUUUCUAUUUACCCAAUUAGUAGUCAAACUUUGAUUCUAUCUUAUGAAUCUAGGGUUUUGCAAAAAGUGUGUACGGUACUAGGUCACUGAGAACCUUAGAUAGACAAAUAAAAGAAAGAAUCAUACCUCCAAUGACUUUAGUAGAAUCGGAAACAUGUUGAUAGCCUAAUGCAUAAACCCUAGCUGGUGCAUUAGAUCGACUUCCUCCAACACUAGGCUGCUUAGCGGCUGACUUUUCAGGCCUUUGGGUACUACCGCCUUCUUUUGGUACGGUCGGGCAUUUCAAUAUCUGGUGCUCGGUACUACCACAAUACAAGCACUUCCCUUGUUUCCUAAAACAAUCAUUCUCCGUAUGGUUGAGCUUGCUACAAUAACCACAAACGACUUGGGGAGCCACAGAUUGACCACUUGGAGGUGUCCCUCUCGAUUGAUCUCGUCCAUUGCGAUCUCCUCUUGAUUGAGUCCCUUUUGGCAUGUUAGAUAUCUCCACUCCACCCGUUCCUUUUCCCUUUUUAAAAGGUGGGGCACUCUUAUCUGCCUGUCCCGAAGGGUUACUAGAAGUGCCCCUCUUCUUAGCAUGAAAGUCUCUAACUUGCAGCCUUGCACUCUCGACUCUCUGUGCUUUUUCUAAGACUUCAGUGAACGUAGAGAUUUGGGCUGCAGCCAAACCCUCCUGGAUUUCUACAUUAAGUCCCUGCACGAACCGUCUAAUCCUCCUCCGUUCAUUGAUCACCAAUUCAGGAGCGUACUUAGAAAGCUUAGUGAACUUUCCCUCGUACUCCGCUACACUAAGGGUUCCUUGUUUCAACUUGAUGAAUUCAUCCUCCCUUUUCUCUUGGAUUAAGGGCGGAAGAAAUUUCUCAUUAAAUUCCCUUGUGAAAUUCUCCCAAGUCCAAGGGGUUUGAGUUCUCUCCCAUUUUCCUCUUAUCAGAUCCCACCAAGCACGGGCUACUCCCUCAAAUUGGAAAGCAGCGAAGUUCACUCGCCUAUCUUCAGUGUAGUCUAAAGCAGCGAAUAUGUUGGUCAUCCUUUCUAACCAAUUCUCCGCUACCUCAGGAUCAGGUUCGCCAAGAAAUUUAGGCGGGUUAAAUUUUAAGAACCUCUCUAAGGCUCUAUCCUCACCUCUUUCCUGACCCCCAGGUUGGUUAAACGGUCCUGGACCCUGUCUUUCAGCUAAGCGUUCUAGGAUAUCAGUCAUCCUAUUGAUGGCAGUAGCAAUUUGGUUAACCUCUAUAUUCUCUUGUCCUUGGGUCGGUCCAGUUGCCGAUCCCUGAUCGUUUCCCUGAGGUUGGGCCGGUCCCGUCCCUCGCCCACGGCCUCGACCCCUUCUUAGCCCUUCCAUAACCUAGGCGUGCCUAGUGCAAGAAAUAAAUAAAUAAAUUAUGCAAUGCAAAGUAGAAAGCAGGAACCAAUCAAGAAAACAUCGGAAAUAACAAUAAUUUACAUUUAUUAACAUAUCAAGUUCAUACAAUUAGCAAGUCAUGGGGUAGUCACAAAAAUAUAGCACACAGAUGCCACAAGAGUACUUUUAAUCACAUACGACUAAAGUAAAGUCAAGUGCCUCAAAAGUAGGCCACACAGGCAUACAAAAAAAUGCAAUGGCCUCAACACUAGCAUCACCCCAGCUAAAUCUAUCCCAAUUAAUUGGUAUAAUCUUCCAAGUAAUUCUCAAUUGAACCUUAAAUGAACGUUAAAUUAAACGUUUAAUUUAAUAACCCACAUAACACAUUUCGAUAACCUAUUGAUACAUAUAGUUAAUAAUGGAGCUAUAAGGCUAUAUUAAUUGAGAAAUUAUAUUUGAGCUACCCAUUUUAUAUGCAGGUAUAGAUUUAAAUUCGUAGAGUAUGAUCUAUUGGAGAGAUCUUGCUCGGCAUUACUCGUGCAGUAUUGCCAUGAUAUACUCGAGUAUUAUCAAAAACUUUGAUGAGCGGGCCCGGUAAGGGGUUGUAACGGUGACGGGAUUCGAAGAAAAGUGGUGUAUCUACGGAUUUGAUACUUAUGUGGUUGACGGAGUGUCAACGUGAGAUUUGAUCAAGACUUCGACUCGACUACGUGGAAUUUAGCUCCUGAGAGCUACAGUAUCCUUGAAUUAUUUCUGUUUAUUUUUCCUAUUCGAAAUGUGAAUUAUUCGAAUUUGAUAGCCUUACCUACAAUGUAAUUGUUGUUGCUACUUGGAUUAUGUGUUUGCAUGUGUGUUUUCUUGGCACAGAUAGGAACGACGUCAUAUGUAAGGGGGUGUAACGGUAUAAAGUUAUACCGUUAAUACUUGAAAUACUAUAUGUUAAAAAUACUUAUGGAGGAACAAGAUGUUUAAUACUAUAUGUUAACAUAUAUAAUCUAAGUAUACCAUUAGUAUAAAACUCCAUAAGUAUACUUAGAUUAUAAUAUACAUAAGCUAUACAUAAAUUAAUACCAUUAAUCUAAGUAUAGAUUUAUAAGUUUAUUUAUAAAUUAAUACCAUAUAUUAAUUGUAUAAUCUAUAUUAUAGUAUACCAUAUAAUCUUAAUGGUAUACAUAAUGGAGAUAAUGGUAUACUUAAGUAUAAUUUAUACUUAAUAUGUAUAUUAUAUAAUCUAAUAUACAUCAAUUCCAGUUACCUGUGGCAAUCAAUAAAGGAAAUUACAUUAUCCCAAAUAACACAUUACAGCCCACAGAAUAAGUCAUAGUGUUCGAAUACAAUCCAAAAGGAUUGUAAAUUAAUACGACAUAUAUAACAUAUAGAUUAUAAUCUUGAUACAGCAUUAAAUCUAAGUAUUAAUUUCCAGAAAUACUUAUGGAGUUUUAUCAAUAGACAAACUCGUAUUUCUAACAUAUACUAAUAUUAGCCGUCGUUUGUGGUUAACUAAGCCAAUCUGAGUUUAAUAUAGCUAUAUGUUAAUAGCUAUCAAAUGUCAACUCGUUAAUUUCUUGAAUUCCACUAAUUAAUCCUAAUUAGUGAAUAACGUUAAAUACUAAUAAGAAAUUUCACGUUAAGACCAAAACCAAUAACUUUUAUGUACAAAAUAAAAAGAAUUGUGCUAAACUAUUAAAUUUCUAAUUUUGUUUCAUUAAAUUCAUAUUUCGAAGGUAAAUUAUUUCAUUUAUUUAACAAUUAAACGUCUUUGAAUUCCGAUAGCUAAUCUUAAGCGUUAACAAUGAUUAAGUUAAUAAAUGUUGAUAUAAAUGGAUAAACGAAUAUCAAGAACGUCAAAUUUUCAUAUUAAGGUCAAACUUGAUUUUAAUAGUUUAAAAUAAUUAGGUAAUAAUGUUAAAUGUUAAUAGGAACUCUCGCGUUAAGAUGAAAACCAAUGAAUUUUCGAUAAAUAUGAUUCUAAUAUAUUAAACAUGCUUAAGGCGUGAAAAUUCGAUAAAUAUAUCCUUAUCUUUCUUUGUUUUCAAAUAAGUGCGUAAAAAUAAUUUUUAUGUGCAAAUUGACACCCUUGGAUUAAAUUAUUAUUCCACUUGACUUUAUAUUAUUAAAUCGAUAAAUUUCGAGUUAGACUAACUCUAUUCCUUGAGAAAUAAUAAUUGGAAAUACUAAUAACUAAUUUAAUCGCUAAAUAAUAUAAGAAUUACUAGGAACCUUAAUGUUCAAGUUUAAUCGAUAAUUAUUCGAUAAAAAUGGUUUAGGUAUAUUAGCGUAUAAUUAGGCGUUCAAAUCACGCUUGGGGAUAAUUUUUUUAGAAUUAAGUUAGAAUUGAGAAAUUAAGUUGAGGUUAGGAAGCAAAGUGAAAAGACUAAAAUGCCCUUACAUUUCCAUGCAAACCAAACAAACCCUCUGACAGCAAAUUCAAUCACCGCAACUACCGGCCAAUCACAUUUUUGCUAAAUCGAUACGCAAUCGAUUCCUACACGCAAUCUCUGAUCCAAAACAGCGGCACCUUAUACCAUACUUUCCAUUUCAUAUCACAAAACCGCGAUACCAUCCCACUCCAUCUUCAUUCCUAUAUCACAAAACACCUUCACACUCCACCCUCUUGCACACCCAACCCCCUUAACCGCGCCUAUUUCUUCACUUCAACCUCGCACAACCAGUUCCAUUUCCUCACACCGUGAGCAUUGACCAAGAGUGAGAGAGGGAGAGCUUCACCUCGUGAUCAUCGACGAGAGAGAGAGAGAGAGCUGCACCUUGCAGCCGAGAGGAAAGAAAGAAAAAUCGCGAGCUGAAUCUUCUCUGGUCUGUCCGUGAGUUUGAGGGAAGAAAGGAGAGAGCAAGUGGAAGUCGUGGGAGCUGCUGAUCGUCACCACCUUCAUCAGUCCCAGCCGCAACUAUUGCAACCAGAACCAGCACUUCAGGCCUUGCGCGCGUGCCGAGAGGAAGAAAAAAAUUCAGCUCUGCCGUGUGGGUGAGUUGCACUGUGAGGUAAUUUCUGGACCAUUUUAGGUUGAUCAAGAGGUAGAUUGAGCCAUCUAGGGGCAUGCAUGUAUUGUUUGUGCAAUCGGAUGAUGAAAUCAAAGCAUUAGAAAAAUCUGUUUUGGAAGUAAAUGGUUUUGCCGAAAAGCUGAAGUGGAGAUGCAGCUUUAAUUCUGUUUCCCUGAUGCAAUCUGAAUGUAUAUAUGUGUUUCCCUAACUUAAGACAAGAUGAUUAAACUGUGAAUGCAGCUCAUUUGCUCGGUUAAGCAAGAAAUAAAGAUGAACAAGAAAAUCUGUUGCAUGCAAGAUCAUCCGAGAAUAGUCGUAGGAAUUUCUGGAAUUGUGGAUGUUUAUAGCUGCUGACCGAACUUGCUCUGAACUAGAUAUGAUAAGUAACUUUAUUGGGUAGCCUCGCAUGUCAAUUUUGGGUGCCUAAUAUAAUGAUCCAGCCAGGGAAAAGUUUACAUCUUAUGACCAUUAGCUGCUGGCAUUUUUUUUUGUGAUAGCCGAGAGCUUGACUUGAAUAAUGCAGCCUUAAUUGGUUUAAUCCUGUUGUUCUGAGCUUAUAACCGUGAUUAGCUGGGUAAUAACAAGAUAAGUAAGCUUUUCAUGUAGUUAAUUAAUUGGGUUAAAACAGAAAAAUUAAUUGAAACAGAAAUCCGCUGCAUGCUUGAUCAUCCGAGGAUAGCUGGAAAAUUUCUGGAAUUUUGGAGAUAAUUAUAACUGUGAUUUGAACUCGAUUUCUGAACUGGAAAUGUUUAUUUUCUAGCUAAGUAAUUGCAUGAGGAAGUUGAGAGUUUAAAAGCAUGUUUUAACCAAGAAAAUAAAAUGAAAACAGAAAGUUUCUUCAUGCAUGUUCAACCGUGACUAGUUGGACAGAUUUCUGGAUUUUUCUCGAUGAUUUUAGUUGCUGAAUGAAUCUGGUUUUGAAGUGAAUUUUUUAAUAGCUAGCUAAGUGUUUACAUGCUGAAUUUGAGUACCUAACACCAUGUUUAAACCAAGGGAAAAUUUGAUCUAAAAAGUAUUUGGUUGCUGGAAAAUUUUGGAAGCCACAAGGGUUGAACCAGAAAUUUUAGUUUGUUUUUGGAAGUUUAAUUGGUUUCUGGAACGUUAUUUUAUUUUUCCCUUGGGAUAUAAUGGUUUAGAAAUACAGAGGAGUUGUAAGUUUUAAGUUGUGCAAGUUGUUUAGUAAUGAAAUAUUUGAUAAAUUGGAAGAUGGAACCAAAAAUGUUAGUGUAUACAUGCCGGAAUUUCUUUUGUGGUAGCCGAAGGGUGAGUUGGAAUCUUAGCUUGGUUUUUAAAUAUUUCUUUGAAUCAUGAUGGAUGGAAAUGCCUGGAAUAUGUUGUUUUGGAGUUUUAUAAGAAAUGUAUGGAUGGUUGAAUAAAAACAUUUUGGUGUUAAAAGAGAAAAAGGAGUUUUUCACAAGUGGAAAAUGAAAUUUCAGAUUUUCGGAUGUCCUUGACCAGUCUCAGUAAAAUGCAUGUAUCUUGGUGUAGGAAAAUCCGUUUAAGGCGCCGUCAGUGGCAUUUGAAACUAGAUUCAUGGGCCUUUGUUCUGUAGAAAUUUCAUAUUUUUCCUCCAUAUGUACUGCUGUCCGUGACUCCUCAAAGUAGACUGUCCUGCUUGAAUGUCCUGUUUCUUUAUGAAACUGAAUUUUUGACUUGGAUCGAACAUUUAGCUUAUUUGUGGUUUGAAUUCUUGAUUGAAUUGUGGUUGGAAGUGAUUGAUGUUGUCAAGGGCUAAUGAUUGAUGAAGCCCUUGGUCAUUUGAAUGGUUUUAUAAAUAUUAAAGAGUGAUGAACUUUGAUUGCUGGAAUUUCUUGAAGGCCUUACCUUCAUUUUUGAUUUAGUUAAGAUGUGAUAUAAGCUUGCCGAAACCAAGUGCUAAUGAUUGAUGAAGCCUUGGUCAUUCAUUUUAUUUUUAUCAGAAAUGCAUUUGUUGAAAUCUAGGGCUAAUGAUUGACGAAGCCCUAGUAAUUUGCUAUGUGAUUUUUGCCAUAUUUUGAUCCAUACUAUGAUUUCGAAACGGGAUCGGAGCUGUGGAAAUUGUAUCGACCUUGCGAACUCGAGUAACUGUGAUCAAAUUAAUCAAAAAUAUUUUCCAGCUAGUAUUAGAUUAUAAAACUCAAUAUCUAGUGUUUCGCCUAAAACUUUCCAAACCAAUAAUUUCCUUUAGCUCAAACUAGCCUUGAUAGCUAUAGUAAUUAAAUUCUAUAGCUUUUGAAAACCCUAAGUUUUAUAUAUAUGUUCCUAUCAAUCAUUAGCUAAUAUUAAACUUAGGGUAACAGUAGCUAAGUAUAUCUGGAACAUAGGACAAUACACUCGCGCACUCGUGAUUAUAUAUUUAACAUAUAUAUACACAGAGUUAUAAUCAUAUAACUCUAAUUUAAAGUAUACUAAUGGUAUACUUAGAUUGAUAUGAUUAUAUUAAUGGUAUACUUAGAUUAUAUUAAGUGUAUCAUUAAGAUUAUAUGGUAUACUUAAGUAUAGCUUAUGUAUACCAUUAAUCUAUAUGGUAUUAAUUUAAUACAAAUUAGAUUGUAAAUUAGAUUAUAAAUUAAUGAUAUGAUUAUAUUAAUGGUAUACUAUAUAGAUUAUAUUAUAAUAUACAUCAAUACGUAUUCUAAUAUGGUAUAUUAUAGAUAAUGGUAUAUUAAGUAUAAAUACUUAAAUCUAAUGACAUAAUUUAUAAUCUAAAUUAAUACCAUAAAUUAUAAUAUAGAUUAUAUUAAGUGUAUAAUCCAUUAGUAUAUAGCUUAUGUAUAUACUUAAGUAUAUCAAACAUAAAGUUAUUUAAUGAUAAAUACUACUGUAUCAAUUACAUAUACUAAUGGUAUUGUGUAAUACUUGAAAUACUAUAUGUUAGCUUAUAUGUGAUUUCUAAUAUUAGUAUAUGUAAUUGAAGUAACCGAAUAGCAAUACUUGUUCCUCACAUCAUAUGUAAGGGGUAUAUUACCCCACGUAUCCAAAAACUCAAGAAUUAUCAGAGCUAUAUUAAUACAAUGUAGGACUAAUAACUCCAACAGAUUUCCUUUAUUGAAGGCAUUAUCUACCUAAUAUUAGCUAGUCUAGGGCCAGAGGUUACCUCGGUUUGAGGCUUAGCUCACACGACAAUGAGCUGCAGAAAUUUUCCUCUCAGCUUGCUAUCGCUCUUGGGGUUUGGUUGUUGCAGCACCGCAGCUCACUAGCUCUCCCUCUCUUGCUCACACGCGAACUGGAGGUGGUGGUCCUGGUUGGAUGUUGCAGUUGCGGUGGAGUUGCUGGAAACGGGUGCAGCUGGUUGAGGUGAAGAAAAUGGUCACAGCUGGUGGAGGUGAAGGUGCAGAAAAGGAUUGAACUCACGCGGUGUCUCUUUCUUUCUUCCCUCAAGCUCGCAGACAGAACCGAAAAUGUGGCAGCUCGCAGUUUUCUUUCCUUGCUCUCAUAUGCAGAAUGCCGCUCUCUCUCCUUCCCCUCGGUCGAUGAUUACAAGGUGAGGAAUGUUGUUGUGGUUUGGGGCUGAGGUAAAAAUGGAGAGGAAAUGGUUUUCGGUGAGUUUGUGCAGAGAAGGAAAUGAGGUUUGGUGAAGGGUGGUGUCUCGGUAUCAAGAAAGGAAGUGGUUUGCGGUUUGCUUGUGCAGAGAAGGAAUUGGAAUUGCGGUUUGUGUUUGUGAAAUAGAGAGGAUGGUAUUGUGGUGCCGCGAUUUAAGGAAAGGAUUGCGUAUAAGAAUUGGUUGCGUAUCGAAUUGGUAAUAGCUGCGGUGAUUGGAUUUGCGGUCAGAAGUCUUGUUUGGUUUGCAUGGAAAUGUAAGGGCAUUUUAGUCUUUUCACUUUGCUCCCUAACCUCAACUUAAUUUCUCAAUUCCAACUUAAUUCUAAAAAUUAUCCCCAAGUGUGAUUUGAACGCCUAAUUAUAACCUAAUAUACCUACACCAUUUCUAUCGAAUAAUUAUCGAUUAAACUUGGAUAUUAACGUUCCUAGUAAUUCUUAUAUUACUUAGCGAUUAAAUUAGUUAUUAGAAUUUCCAAUUAUUAUUUCUCACGAAAUAGAGUUAGUCUAACUCGAAAUGUGUGUAUAUGGAGCUCCUGGGGUCAUUAAAUUUCUCAUUGUUUUGCUAACUAUUAUCACAUAUAACAAUACACUAAUCAAAAUGCUAUCUUAUUGUUUAUGUAUAGUGCAUUAUUACAUAUAACUAUUGUUCAAAUUUUCUCUACAUAUUAACCAGUCGAUGUGUAUCACAUAUAAUCACAUAGUAGACUUUAAUGGCAUUUUCGAAAUGUGUAACUCGAAAAUGAUCAAGUCUACCAUAUACAUUAACUCGAAAUGUGUCGUUCCAUUUUCAUAUAAAAGAAAAUGGAAUUGAAGUACUCUGAGCUUAUAGCUGUGAUUAAUUAGCUAAUUACAAGAUGUUUAAGAGAUUGCAUGUGAUGAUUAAGCACUCGGAUGAUGCAAUCAAGGCAUGAGAAAAUCUGAUUCUGGGAGAAAAUGUUUCUGCCGAGAGUGGAUUAGAAAUUGCAGCUUUAUUUUUGUUCCCCUGUGACAAUCUGAGCUUAAUGCUGUGUUUAACCAAUCAUAAACAAGAAGAUUAAGCGAAUUAGGGGCAUGCAUGUAUUGUUUAUGCAGUCGGUUGAUGAAAUCAAAACUCUAGAAAAAUCUGUUUUGCAGACAAAUGAUGUUGCCGAGAACUUGUUCUGAUUAAUGCAGCUUAAUUCGGUUUAAUUAAUCACAGCUAUAAGCUCAGAGUACUUCAAUUCCAUUUUCUUUUAUAUGAAAAUGGAACGACACAUUUCGAGUUAAUGUAUAUGGUAGACUUGAUCAUUUUCGAGUUACACAUUUCGAAAAUGCCAUUAAAGUCUACUAUGUGAUUAUAUGUGAUACACAUCGACUGGUUAAUAUGUAGAGAAAAUUUGAACAAUAGUUAUAUGUAAUAAUGCACUAUACAUAAACAAUAAGAUAGCAUUUUGAUUAGUGUAUUGUUAUAUGUGAUAAUAGUUAGCAAAACAAUGAGAAAUUUAAUGACCCCAGGAGCUCCAUAUACACACAUUUCGAGUUAGACUAACUCUAUUUCGUGAGAAAUAAUAAUUGGAAAUUCUAAUAACUAAUUUAAUCGCUAAGUAAUAUAAGAAUUAUUAGGAACGUUAAUAUCCAAGUUUAAUCGAUAAUUAUUCGAUAGAAAUGGUUUAGGUAUAUUAGGUUAUAAUUAGGCGUUCAAAUCACACUUGGGGAUAAUUUUUAGAAUUAAGUUGGAAUUGAGAAAUUAAGUUGAGGUUAGGGAGCAAAGUGAAAAGACUAAAAUGUCCUUACAUUUCCAUGCAAACCAAACAAUACUUCUGACCGCAAAUCCAAUCACCGCAGCUAUUACCAAUUCGAUACGCAACCAAUUCUUAUACGCAAUCCUUUCCUUAAACCGCGGCACCACAAUACCAUCCUCUCUAUUUCACAAACACAAACCGCAAUUCCAAUUCCUUCUCUGCACAAGCAAACCGCAAACCACUUCCUUUCUUGAUACCGAGACACCACCCUUCACCAAACCUCAUUUCCUUCUCUGCACAAACUCACCGAAAACCAUUUCCUCUCCAUUUUUACCUCAGCCCCAAACCACAACAACAUUCCUCACCUUGUAAUCAUCGACCGAGGGGAAGGAGAGAGAGCGGCAUUCUGCAUAUGAGAGCAAGGAAAGAAAACUGCGAGCUGCCACAUUUUCGGUUCUGUCUGCGAGCUUGAGGGAAGAAAGAAAGAGACACCGCGUGAGUUCAAUCCUUUUCUGCACCUUCACCUCCACCAGCUGUGACCAUUUUCUUCACCUCAACCAGCUGCACCCGUUUCCAGCAACUCCACCGCAACUGCAACAUCCAACCAGGACCACCACCUCCAGUUCGCGUGUGAGCAAGAGAGGGAGAGCUAGUGAGCUGCGGUGCUGCAACAACCAAACCCCAAGAGCGAUAGCAAGCUGAGAGGAAAAUUUCUGCAGCUCAUUGUCGUGUGAGCUAAGCCUCAAACCGAGGUAACCUCUGGCCCUAGACUAGCUAAUAUUAGGUAGAUGAUGCUGAUUAAAAGCUUGCAUGUAACGGUUAGCCACUUGGAUGAUGGGUUAAGGCACCAGAAAUUCUGAUUAUGAAAAGAAAAUGGAAUUGCCGUGAGCUUGAAUCAGAAAUGCAGACUUGAUCAUUGCUUAUAGCUAAUAUGAGCUAUAUUAGUGUUUUGCUAACGACUUUAAUGGUAUGAUUAGUAGACUUUUAAGAAUUGAGAAAUAAUGGAGCUAAUGCACUAUACAUAAACAAUGAGAUUGCAUUUUGAUUAGUGUAUUGUUAUAUGUGAUAAUAGUUAUAUGUGAUUGUAAAGUCUACUAUACACUAAUCAAUUAAAGUCUACAUAUUUGAUGCUGUGGGUUAUUAAUAGGAAAAUGAUAAUCUUAAUUCCUUUAAUCGUUAUUGAUGCUGUGGCGACUCCACUUCCCCCUAAGGCGAACCAAAGGGUUGGCGGGCCGUCCCAUGCAUGAAUCACCUACAUUUGAGAUUCCUACCCAACAUACAUAUCUAAUAUCCCCAACCAUAGACUUUUUGUUCCACACCUAACAAGCCAAUCCCCACAGUCCGAGAACCUUUUCCCGGUUUGAGCUCGAUAAGAGCUCUGAUACCAACUGUGACGCCCCCCACUUUUCCCCAGGGCGAACCCAAGGGUAUCCGCGGGACGCCUGCCCAGCUCUCGCCAGGACUCAAGACAAAUCAAAUCGAACUUAACGAUGCAUACCAAAUACUACGAGUCAAAAUAAAGAAAAGUCGCUUCCUUAACUAAAUAUUUAAAUCUUACAUCAUGUCCACAAAAGAUACAUCAAGUUCCAAAAUGCAACCAUUAAAAGUCGACUACACAUUUAAUACAUAUGUAAUGGAGAAAAUGCCAUUAAAGUCUACUAUACACAAAUCAAUUAUAUAAUAAUUGAUUCCAAUUAUUAUAUGGAGAUUGCAACGAGUUAGCUACACUUGAUCAUUGUUGAAGCUAUAUUAGUCAUUGGAGGUAUGAUUCUUUCUUUUAUUUGUCUAUCUAAGGUUCUCAGUGACCUAGUACCGUACACACUUUUUGCAAAACCCUAGAUUCAUAAGAUAGAAUCAAAGUUUGACUACUAAUUGGGUAAAUAGAAAUUGUGAUAUAUGGAUCGGAGGGUGUAAGUUAGUGAUUAAUUUGAAAGGCAUGACUCUUAAGGGGUAUGACUAUUAUCCAAAGUGUGAAUUUCGAGGACGAAAUUCUUUUAAGGAGGGGAGGAUGUGAGGACCCGAAAUUUUUUAUUUUUUAUUUUAUCGAAUAUUAGUAGUUUGUUUAAAUAUUUAUUUACUCAUUUUUCUUCAAAUUAUUUAUUUCGAUCAUUUAAAAUCUAUUUAUAUGGAACGACGCCUCUUUUAUAUUUUUAAAAGCGUUUUGUUGAAAAAAUUCACUUUUCGAAAACUCGUUUAGUUCGGAACAACGAGUGCACGUUUUUCGAGACUAUAUUUGAAUCGAGAGUGUAUUAAUAUUGGAGAAUUAAGAACGAUCAAUAAUAGAUUAAGAAAGGUUAAUUGAGGAAUUAAUACUCAAUUCACGUGAGUACUCGUAAAAUUAUUAUUUUUAAACCCCUAAUUUUGGCUCAAUUAAUUAUCUAUUUGGAUUUUUGCCCCGAAUAUUAUUUUCUAUCCUUAUUAGACCUAAAUAUAUGGUUUUAUAGUUUCGUUAUAUUUUUAAAGUGUCUCGUUUCAAAAAUUAUUUUCUUAGAAGCUUGUUUAGUGAAAAAGUGAAAACGUGUCUGAAAACUUUAGCCAAUUAGGAGUACAAUAAGCUCGGAAAUUUGGAGACAUGUACAAUGGUUCUAAAAUAGGUAAAUUUAGAUUUAAGUACUCAAGUGAUAGUUGGUGGUACGAUCGUUAUAAGAAUUUCUCGAAAGUUUCAUUUUAUUGCGCCUAAAUUGGGAAUACGUGUUUUCACGUUUGGACCAUUAUUUUGGGACAAUUAAGAAUGAAUAAUAUUUAUAUGAAUGUAAGUGCCCUAGAGGUUUAGUGCACUAGUGUAACAAACGUAAGAGAAAUCGAACAUGAAACGUGCGCGUAGGGCACUAGUUGUAAUUGAUUUGACGUAUUUAAAAUAUUAGACGUCAAGCGUCUUUUGUACGCAAAGGAAACCAGAACCGCAUCUCAUUUCUUCUAGCUGCAAUGGACGGAUAGCUUCAGCCGUAACAGCUUCACCAUUCCUUCUACAAAUUCACCAAAUCACUACCAAAGCCUCCAUAGAUUCAACCAAAACUUCACAUACACUUAACUCUACACUUGGACAACACCUUAAGCUGAAAAAGGGAGGAGCUUCACGGUUUUCUUCAGGCUUCAAAGGGACCGAAAUUUUCUGAUUUGAACAACCAUCAAAGUAGGUAAUGAUCAACUACCUUAAACUUGUCUUAUGGAGGUUGAUUUAUGCAUUUGAGCUGAAAUCUUCACUUUAGUAGCUUGUAUUGUUGGAAAAAAAGUGGGCUCUAUGAAUUCCCACUCUUGGGUUGUUGCUGAUUUUGUGCUUGAUGAAGUUUAUGAUAUCGGAUCAGUGUUUAAGUUAGUGAUUUGUUGAAGGAAAACUGCUGGAAACUCACGUUGAGUGCAAUGGCCAAGUUUGACCAUUUUGCCCCUGGUUGUUCGGCCACUUUACUGCAGAUAUUUGAGGAUUUAAUGGCUUGAUUGUGUUGUUUACAUGUUGUAGAAGUUGUGUACAAAAUUUCGUUGAAAAAUAUUGAGUUUUGGUUGAUCAAAAGAAUUUAUUUUCCAAAGUUAGUAAUCUGGAAACGGUUGCCGUCGUAACCAGACAAGUGUUCGUGUUUCGUCCAUAACUCCGUACUCCGAUGUCGAAAUCGAGUACCGUUAGCGGCAUUUGAAACUAGACGUUCCCAUGUUUCCAACGGUGUAUAAUGUACAUUCUGGUUCCAUGUGUGUGAACCGCACCAUUCAUCUGAAUUCAGCUGUCCUGUUUCUCCGUUCUGCCGAAAUGAUUUGAUGAUGCUGCGACUUUAGGCUUAAUUUCGAACCAGUUGCAUGCUGAAACUUGAAACGAUUUCUUCUGUGAAAUUUUAUCCCUGUGAAUUUAUUUUCUAACACUAUCAACCAUUCCCAAUUCCGAGUUAAAUUAAGGGAGUUAUGAUCAAAAUACGGCGACUGCCUCAUUUUUUAAAAUCUUAGAUUUGGACAGAUUGCCUUAAGGAUUUUUCCAAACUUUGGUCGAUUGAUUAACCACCUUCCCGAAGGUAUUUUUCCAUGAAAUUUGAUAGGGAGAUACCUUUCAUAUAGGAGUAUUAUACUUAAAAAUUUGGUAUCAAUCCAAGUUCGUUUCGACACUUAACUAAAAGUCCAAAGUCGGAACCAAAUCUGGAAAUUUGUUAACAGUCUUGAAAUUUACCCAACUUUGAGCUACCAUAUCUUGGUGCUCGAAACUCCGAUUCUCGAUCCGCUUGUUCUGUCCUAAACCUUACUUGCACCUCUAAUUGAGCUACAAAUUUCAAGGGCUGGUUUGCAACGAGUGAAUUCUGCUGAAUUUUCAAAGUUAGCAAAAAACGUGUGCGAAGUGUGCAAAAAACGUGUGCAAAAAACCUUACUUUUCGAUUCGAGUGAUGAUGUGAUGUGAUGUGCGAAGUGUGGUGUGAACGUGUGCAACAUGAAAAGUAAAUAGGCCAUGGGACUUUGGAAAGCGACGAUUUGGCCAAAUGAAAAUUUAAAAAGGGUUUUUUAAAUAUGAAAACGGAGUCGCCACUUGGUAUAGAUUUGGGGUGUACCAAGUCACCCAAAAAGAUGUUUUUUAAAAACAAAGUAGUAAAACCCUUUUUAAAACGACUCCUAGUCCACGUAAGCCAAAGAAAAAGGUUCGGGGGUCACGUUUGACAAAGGGGAAGGCAAGGAUAGAAUCCAAGGCACCCCUUUGACCUAGCCAAGGCUAGUUGCGCGACUUAACCUUACCUUUCCUAAUUUUCUACCCAAUAUAUGUUCACACGUUGGAUAUGACUAUAUGAAUGCAAAACGGAAAGAGAAAUGCAAUCCUAAAUUCUACGAUGUCUCUCGUGAGGCUUUUGGUCCCAAACCACAUGAAUUGUGGCGGCCAACAAAGGAAAACCUCAUAGAGGUCGAUUAAUGCAAAUGAGACCCAAGUGUGCAAGUGUGAAAGUGUAUGAAAGAAAUUAAAAAUCCAAGUGUUUGUGUGCAAGUGUAUGAAAAGGUGCACAUGUGCAAUUGUAUGAAAAUUCCAAGUGUUUGUGUGUAAGUGUAUGAAAUAUAGUGAUAAGUGCAUAUAGGUGUAAUUAAAUGCAAUUUUGUGAAGUAGAAAUCAAAAUGAACAAUAAGGAAAGGAAAAUGUGAAUUGAAAAGAAUGAGUGAGUGAUAAAUGAGAAUGAAUGAACCUAAGGGAAUGCAUCAGGUCGGGUAUGGGAAUGACUCCUAACUUGUCGACUUCGAUUUUCCCUUUGAUUAGAAGGUAAAACUAGCGUGCUAAGGCUAUCGAGUAGCCACACUCGCUCGUUUCCCUUAUCAGAAGGGGACCUUCAAGCAAAUGGACCCUACAACUAUCAUGAUAUGCAAAAAUCCUAAAAUGAAGGGAAAGGGGGUUCGAGGAGCAUGCCAAGUGAUAAAACUAAGAAAAAUGCAUGAUAUGUGGUGAACAAGCAAAUGAUAUGCUAAUGAGGGGAAAUCCCUAAGGGUCUAGCGUUGGACUAGCCCAUUCUAUGAAUUCCGACUAGCGUUGGACUAGCGGAAACGUACAUUCAUCCAUUCCAUUCAUUCAUGGCUAUGAAAGCAAAUAGACAUGCCGAAAUACUCGUAAACACAUAGCACAUAGCAUUUAGCAUGCUCGACUAGAUGCAAGAGCCUAAUAAAGCAAUUAAACAUGUAGCAACCAAAACAAGCAAGCAAGGGGAAGGGGAAAUGGACAGAUGCUCUCCGAGCCCUAUCUAUUACAAGCCAAGAGGUGUACACAUACCCCAUAAAAGCAUAAAGGGGAAAGGGAAGUGGACCAGAUGCUCUCCGAGCACUAUCUAUUACAAGCCAAGAGGUGUACACAUACCCCAUAAAAGCAUAAAGGGGAAAGGGAAGUGGACCAGAUGCUCUUCGAGCCCUAUCUAUUACAAGCCAAGAGGUGUACACAUACCCCAUAAAACUUAAAUAAAAGUAAAAGCAAGUAAACGCAUGCAAGGAGGUAAGGAAAGCGAAGUAGACAGGCAUAUUCACAUAACACGUAGGAGCACGUAAAGUCAAAUGAAAUGCAAGUGAGGGAUAGAGUGUACCUCCCUUGAAGCGACGCCCUAACGUAGCGAAAUUACUAACUUACCCUCCAAAAUAAUAAAAAGGGUCAAGGUACCACUUAAAUUAUCAAAUAAAUCAGAGAAAAUGGAAACAAACGUCAAAUAAAAAUUAAAGAGGUCCAAUGGGCCAAUUUGUUAAUAUUAUAAACACUAAAGGACUAAAAACAUAAAAUAAAAUUAAGAAUCUAAGGCGAAACUUACCAAAUCAAACUAGAAAAUUCACAAAAAGGUAAACGAUGAGCAAUUCACUAGUAGCUAAACAACCAAAUGCCAAAGAAUCCAAAAGAAUCAAAUUAACUGCAAGUCUUGGAAAAAGAAAUUAUUAGACCCUUCAAAUUCAUUCUACAACCCCUUAAGUAUCUACCCAAAACAAAUCAAGAUGUAUUAAAGAGGAAAUGGCAUGUUAGGAGGACAAAAUUAAUUAAGUUUUCCAAUUAAUUGGGCCAUGGAAGCAUUAGAUAAAAGCUAAGGGGUUGGAGUGCAAUUUUUGGAAACAUUUUUCAUGCAGAUUCAUGCAACAACACGCAGAAGGCUUCUAUUCUCAUUGCUAGUUUCUGCAAAAUUCCGCCACAAUCUUUCAUCCAUUUCAACAUGCAAACGAAUUCACCAAACCAAGAUUUCAACUAUCAAUUAUUAACUGAAUCAAACACAAGAUUUAAAUGUGCAAACAAGGUGAUGAAACCCACUUAUAAGCUCUUGCCGAAUAAAACAUGACACUAAUGCAGCAAAAUAACGUGAGAAAAACUUCUGCAAUUUUCUUAUUCAGUCAUCAGCAAUUAAACAGAACCCAAACACACCACUUGUUUCUAAGAUUCCAAACCUAAACACAAGGCUUUCAACUAGGCAACAAAUCAUCAUCCAAACAAACAAAACAAAAAAAAACUUAGCAAGAUUCCAGUGCAAAAAAUGAAAUACAUCCGGCAAGUUGGAAGAUCUGGAAAACACAUGAAACUGGUUCAACAAGUCUUGGUUUGCUCGGCUUUGAUGAACUCCUCAGACAGACCUCAAAACAGGUAAACAAAGAUAAAACAAAACAAAAUGCAGCAAAGGAAAAGUAAAACCUGCGCAAGCUGCUGCAACAUGACCAAGAGCUUUGAGCUCGUUGCAGCAGACUUUGUGCGCAGGUUUCUGCAACUAACGAAGAAAGAAACCAGCUGCAUUUCAUUUCCAAACUCAGAUUGAGGAACUAACCAUGUAACCAACCCAGACCAAACAAACAAAACUCAGCAAAACAUCAUGCAGAAAUUCUGGAAAACAUACGCGCAAAACUGGUUUGACAACCUGAAACAUUCAUUUUCCAGCAAGCAUUAGAUCCUAAAUUAGGAACUCUAGCCCCCAAACAUGCGAACCCAGCAUCAAACUUCAAUCUAAACCAGAGCCUACACUUCUCACUUUGCAUCAUUAAAAUUCUGGAUUUCAAACACAAAAAUUGGAGAAAAAGGGAAGCAAACGUUGGAAUAACAUUCUGAAAAAUUUUCCAGCUUUCAAUUCUCUUCUGCUAUUUACUUUAAAAAAACCGAGACAUGUUUGAAACAAAAACAGUAAAUCUAUGGACUCAUCCAUUAAACCCCCCCCAAUGCCAUGACCUUUAACGCAUGCAGCCAACCUCAAACACAAUCAUCUAUACUCCAAAAGGGCUACUCACAAUCACCGAAAACAAAAUGCAGCAAAGGAUCCUGCUUGGAGUGGUUAAAGUUUCAGCAUUUUCAUGGUAACGUCUACUGCCAUAACAAACCAGAAACUUGCAAGAGACAACCAAAGGAAGUUUGGAACAAAACUAAGCAUACUAUACUACCGACACUUCACAGAAUCGAUCACACGAACCAGGAGAAAACGAAAUCAGAAACGAUGGUCGCACAAAUCUGAUAAAAGGAAGAGCAUCUGCAAUUUCCUGGGCUCGCUUGUCGCAAACAAUCAAUCAUAAACACAAAAGCCUCUUAAGUUCAUCAUAGAACCCCCACUGAGGAAUCCAAAGUACUAUCUCUAAACCCCAGGUCAAAUACCCCACACGUUCCUCUAACAUGAAUCAAGACAGGAAACACAAAAAACAAUCCAAACUUGGCAUGGGUUAUGGACUGAAAUACCUUCGGUAAGGAUCUGGUGGUGAUGGAGAACUGAAGUGAUGGCAGUCGUGGAGGCUAAUAGUUCCGACAGCUCCUCUGCUUCUUGGGGAAGUAGUGCCAGACCUCUUCUCCUCUUUGCUCUCUCCCCCUUUCAGUUAUGGUUGGGAAAAGAUCGAAACUUUCUCCUCUUCCUCGCUUUCUUUUGGUUUCAAUCCUUUUCUCCCUCUUUAGCCGUUAACCUCCUCUAUGCUUCCCUCCACGGUCAUCUCUCCUCCUCUUACACUAGCUCUCUGUGCUUUGUUUUUGCCCUGAAAACCCCUUCUCUCCAAAACCUUCGCUCAGUUUUUCUUUUAGCCCGUCUACUUUCUUGCUUUGCUUUUUCGUUCUCUGUUUCUGCCUUCCCUCUCUCAAUCUCGCUUCUCUUUCUCCUUUCUGUUUUUGUUUUUCUUCAUCCGAGACCCCCCCCCCCCCCCCCCGAUGAAGCUCUCUCUUUUGCGGCUGCCAUUCCUCUUGCUAUUUAUAUGGGAGCCUCUACCCUAAAACCUCAGCAAUCUCCUUCUAUAUUUGCAGCCAAAGGGCUCCUGAGCCCUUACUUGCAAGUUGCGAAAAAAAAAAAACGCAGCUUGCCCGCGGCGUAUUCCCCUUUUUUUUUUUUUUUUUUUUUUUUUUUCAACUUAAUAAACACAGAAAUGAUAAUAUAUAAAAAAUAAUUAUAAUAACAAAUUGACAAAAACCGAGUAAUAAUAAUAACAAUAAUGAAAAUAAUUUAAAAAACUAAACAACUAAAAACAACAAAAAUAGCCAUUUUUCCAUCUUUUUUGUUUCAUUUUUCUUUUUCAUAGUUUUUUUCAUUUUUCACCUUUUCUCUUUUUUCUAAAUGAAUCAAACAACAAUAAAAGAUAAAUUAAGUAGAAAUGGCUAAAAUAAAGCUAAAUAAAACAAAAUUGCUAUUUUUCUUUUCUUUUUCCCUUUUUUCCUUUUUUAUGAUUUUUCCUUUUUCUUCUUUUUUUUUUCAAGAAAUUCUAUGCUAAAAACUUACAAAUAAAAACAAAACUAUAAACUAAAAACUAAAAAUCGAAUAAAACUAACACGACAAAUAAAAAACUAAAAAUAAACAGUAAAUGAAAUUACACCAAAAAUUUGGUGUCUACAAUACUCGAGUAUUAUCAAAAACUUUGAUGAGCGGGCCCGGUAAGGGGGUGUAACGGUGACGGGAUUCGAAGAAAAGUGGUGUAUCUACGGAUUUGAUACUUAUGUGGUUGACGGAGUGUCAACGUGAGAUUUGAUCAAGACUUCGACUCGACUACGUGGAAUUUAGCUCCUGAGAGCUACAGUAUCCUUGAAUUAUUUCUGUUUAUUUUUCCUAUUCGAAAUGUGAAUUAUUCGAAUUUGAUAGCCUUACCUACAAUGUAAUUGUUGUUGCUACUUGGAUUAUGUGUUUGCAUGUGUGUUUUCUUGGCACAGAUAGGAACGACGUCAUAUGUAAGGGGGUGUAACGGUAUAAAGUUAUACCGUUAAUACUUGAAAUACUAUAUGUUAAAAAUACUUAUGGAGGAACAAGAUGUUUAAUACUAUAUGUUAACAUAUAUAAUCUAAGUAUACCAUUAGUAUAAAACUCCAUAAGUAUACUUAGAUUAUAAUAUACAUAAGCUAUACAUAAAUUAAUACCAUUAAUCUAAGUAUAGAUUUAUAAGUUUAUUUAUAAAUUAAUACCAUAUAUUAAUUGUAUAAUCUAUAUUAUAGUAUACCAUAUAAUCUUAAUGGUAUACAUAAUGGAGAUAAUGGUAUACUUAAGUAUAAUUUAUACUUAAUAUGUAUAUUAUAUAAUCUAAUAUACAUCAAUUCCAGUUACCUGUGGCAAUCAAUAAAGGAAAUUACAUUAUCCCAAAUAACACAUUACAGCCCACAGAAUAAGUCAUAGUGUUCGAAUACAAUCCAAAAGGAUUGUAAAUUAAUACGACAUAUAUAACAUAUAGAUUAUAAUCUUGAUACAGCAUUAAAUCUAAGUAUUAAUUUCCAGAAAUACUUAUGGAGUUUUAUCAAUAGACAAACUCGUAUUUCUAACAUAUACUAAUAUUAGCCGUCGUUUGUGGUUAACUAAGCCAAUCUGAGUUUAAUAUAGCUAUAUGUUAAUAGCUAUCAAAUGUCAACUCGUUAAUUUCUUGAAUUCCACUAAUUAAUCCUAAUUAGUGAAUAACGUUAAAUACUAAUAAGAAAUUUCACGUUAAGACCAAAACCAAUAACUUUUAUGUACAAAAUAAAAAGAAUUGUGCUAAACUAUUAAAUUUCUAAUUUUGUUUCAUUAAAUUCAUAUUUCGAAGGUAAAUUAUUUCAUUUAUUUAACAAUUAAACCUCUUUGAAUUCCGAUAGCUAAUCUUAAGCGUUAACAAUGAUUAAGUUAAUAAAUGUUGAUAUAAAUGGAUAAACGAAUAUCAAGAACGUCAAAUUUUCAUAUUAAGGUCAAACUUGAUUUUAAUAGUUUAAAAUAAUUAGGUAAUAAUGUUAAAUGUUAAUAGGAACUCUCGCGUUAAGAUGAAAACCAAUGAAUUUUCGAUAAAUAUGAUUCUAAUAUAUUAAACAUGCUUAAGGCGUGAAAAUUCGAUAAAUAUAUCCUUAUCUUUCUUUGUUUUCAAAUAAGUGCGUAAAAAUAAUUUUUAUGUGCAAAUUGACACCCUUGGAUUAAAUUAUUAUUCCACUUGACUUUAUAUUAUUAAAUCGAUAAAUUUCGAGUUAGACUAACUCUAUUCCUUGAGAAAUAAUAAUUGGAAAUACUAAUAACUAAUUUAAUCGCUAAAUAAUAUAAGAAUUACUAGGAACCUUAAUGUUCAAGUUUAAUCGAUAAUUAUUCGAUAAAAAUGGUUUAGGUAUAUUAGCGUAUAAUUAGGCGUUCAAAUCACGCUUGGGGAUAAUUUUUUUAGAAUUAAGUUAGAAUUGAGAAAUUAAGUUGAGGUUAGGAAGCAAAGUGAAAAGACUAAAAUGCCCUUACAUUUCCAUGCAAACCAAACAAACCCUCUGACAGCAAAUUCAAUCACCGCAACUACCGGCCAAUCACAUUUUUGCUAAAUCGAUACGCAAUCGAUUCCUACACGCAAUCUCUGAUCCAAAACAGCGGCACCUUAUACCAUACUUUCCAUUUCAUAUCACAAAACCGCGAUACCAUCCCACUCCAUCUUCAUUCCUAUAUCACAAAACACCUUCACACUCCACCCUCUUGCACACCCAACCCCCUUAACCGCGCCUAUUUCUUCACUUCAACCUCGCACAACCAGUUCCAUUUCCUCACACCGUGAGCAUUGACCAAGAGUGAGAGAGGGAGAGCUUCACCUCGUGAUCAUCGACGAGAGAGAGAGAGAGAGCUGCACCUUGCAGCCGAGAGGAAAGAAAGAAAAAUCGCGAGCUGAAUCUUCUCUGGUCUGUCCGUGAGUUUGAGGGAAGAAAGGAGAGAGCAAGUGGAAGUCGUGGGAGCUGCUGAUCGUCACCACCUUCAUCAGUCCCAGCCGCAACUAUUGCAACCAGAACCAGCACUUCAGGCCUUGCGCGCGUGCCGAGAGGAAGAAAAAAAUUCAGCUCUGCCGUGUGGGUGAGUUGCACUGUGAGGUAAUUUCUGGACCAUUUUAGGUUGAUCAAGAGGUAGAUUGAGCCAUCUAGGGGCAUGCAUGUAUUGUUUGUGCAAUCGGAUGAUGAAAUCAAAGCAUUAGAAAAAUCUGUUUUGGAAGUAAAUGGUUUUGCCGAAAAGCUGAAGUGGAGAUGCAGCUUUAAUUCUGUUUCCCUGAUGCAAUCUGAAUGUAUAUAUGUGUUUCCCUAACUUAAGACAAGAUGAUUAAACUGUGAAUGCAGCUCAUUUGCUCGGUUAAGCAAGAAAUAAAGAUGAACAAGAAAAUCUGUUGCAUGCAAGAUCAUCCGAGAAUAGUCGUAGGAAUUUCUGGAAUUGUGGAUGUUUAUAGCUGCUGACCGAACUUGCUCUGAACUAGAUAUGAUAAGUAACUUUAUUGGGUAGCCUCGCAUGUCAAUUUUGGGUGCCUAAUAUAAUGAUCCAGCCAGGGAAAAGUUUACAUCUUAUGACCAUUAGCUGCUGGCAUUUUUUUUUGUGAUAGCCGAGAGCUUGACUUGAAUAAUGCAGCCUUAAUUGGUUUAAUCCUGUUGUUCUGAGCUUAUAACCGUGAUUAGCUGGGUAAUAACAAGAUAAGUAAGCUUUUCAUGUAGUUAAUUAAUUGGGUUAAAACAGAAAAAUUAAUUGAAACAGAAAUCCGCUGCAUGCUUGAUCAUCCGAGGAUAGCUGGAAAAUUUCUGGAAUUUUGGAGAUAAUUAUAACUGUGAUUUGAACUCGAUUUCUGAACUGGAAAUGUUUAUUUUCUAGCUAAGUAAUUGCAUGAGGAAGUUGAGAGUUUAAAAGCAUGUUUUAACCAAGAAAAUAAAAUGAAAACAGAAAGUUUCUUCAUGCAUGUUCAACCGUGACUAGUUGGACAGAUUUCUGGAUUUUUCUCGAUGAUUUUAGUUGCUGAAUGAAUCUGGUUUUGAAGUGAAUUUUUUAAUAGCUAGCUAAGUGUUUACAUGCUGAAUUUGAGUACCUAACACCAUGUUUAAACCAAGGGAAAAUUUGAUCUAAAAAGUAUUUGGUUGCUGGAAAAUUUUGGAAGCCACAAGGGUUGAACCAGAAAUUUUAGUUUGUUUUUGGAAGUUUAAUUGGUUUCUGGAACGUUAUUUUAUUUUUCCCUUGGGAUAUAAUGGUUUAGAAAUACAGAGGAGUUGUAAGUUUUAAGUUGUGCAAGUUGUUUAGUAAUGAAAUAUUUGAUAAAUUGGAAGAUGGAACCAAAAAUGUUAGUGUAUACAUGCCGGAAUUUCUUUUGUGGUAGCCGAAGGGUGAGUUGGAAUCUUAGCUUGGUUUUUAAAUAUUUCUUUGAAUCAUGAUGGAUGGAAAUGCCUGGAAUAUGUUGUUUUGGAGUUUUAUAAGAAAUGUAUGGAUGGUUGAAUAAAAACAUUUUGGUGUUAAAAGAGAAAAAGGAGUUUUUCACAAGUGGAAAAUGAAAUUUCAGAUUUUCGGAUGUCCUUGACCAGUCUCAGUAAAAUGCAUGUAUCUUGGUGUAGGAAAAUCCGUUUAAGGCGCCGUCAGUGGCAUUUGAAACUAGAUUCAUGGGCCUUUGUUCUGUAGAAAUUUCAUAUUUUCCCUCCAUAUGUACUGCUGUCCGUGACUCCUCAAAGUAGACUGUCCUGCUUGAAUGUCCUGUUUCUUUAUGAAACUGAAUUUUUGACUUGGAUCGAACAUUUAGCUUAUUUGUGGUUUGAAUUCUUGAUUGAAUUGUGGUUGGAAGUGAUUGAUGUUGUCAAGGGCUAAUGAUUGAUGAAGCCCUUGGUCAUUUGAAUGGUUUUAUAAAUAUUAAAGAGUGAUGAACUUUGAUUGCUGGAAUUUCUUGAAGGCCUUACCUUCAUUUUUGAUUUAGUUAAGAUGUGAUAUAAGCUUGCCGAAACCAAGUGCUAAUGAUUGAUGAAGCCUUGGUCAUUCAUUUUAUUUUUAUCAGAAAUGCAUUUGUUGAAAUCUAGGGCUAAUGAUUGACGAAGCCCUAGUAAUUUGCUAUGUGAUUUUUGCCAUAUUUUGAUCCAUACUAUGAUUUCGAAACGGGAUCGGAGCUGUGGAAAUUGUAUCGACCUUGCGAACUCGAGUAACUGUGAUCAAAUUAAUCAAAAAUAUUUUCCAGCUAGUAUUAGAUUAUAAAACUCAAUAUCUAGUGUUUCGCCUAAAACUUUCCAAACCAAUAAUUUCCUUUAGCUCAAACUAGCCUUGAUAGCUAUAGUAAUUAAAUUCUAUAGCUUUUGAAAACCCUAAGUUUUAUAUAUAUGUUCCUAUCAAUCAUUAGCUAAUAUUAAACUUAGGGUAACAGUAGCUAAGUAUAUCUGGAACAUAGGACAAUACACUCGCGCACUCGUGAUUAUAUAUUUAACAUAUAUAUACACAGAGUUAUAAUCAUAUAACUCUAAUUUAAAGUAUACUAAUGGUAUACUUAGAUUGAUAUGAUUAUAUUAAUGGUAUACUUAGAUUAUAUUAAGUGUAUCAUUAAGAUUAUAUGGUAUACUUAAGUAUAGCUUAUGUAUACCAUUAAUCUAUAUGGUAUUAAUUUAAUACAAAUUAGAUUGUAAAUUAGAUUAUAAAUUAAUGAUAUGAUUAUAUUAAUGGUAUACUAUAUAGAUUAUAUUAUAAUAUACAUCAAUACGUAUUCUAAUAUGGUAUAUUAUAGAUAAUGGUAUAUUAAGUAUAAAUACUUAAAUCUAAUGACAUAAUUUAUAAUCUAAAUUAAUACCAUAAAUUAUAAUAUAGAUUAUAUUAAGUGUAUAAUCCAUUAGUAUAUAGCUUAUGUAUAUACUUAAGUAUAUCAAACAUAAAGUUAUUUAAUGAUAAAUACUACUGUAUCAAUUACAUAUACUAAUGGUAUUGUGUAAUACUUGAAAUACUAUAUGUUAGCUUAUAUGUGAUUUCUAAUAUUAGUAUAUGUAAUUGAAGUAACCGAAUAGCAAUACUUGUUCCUCACAUCAUAUGUAAGGGGUAUAUUACCCCACGUAUCCAAAAACUCAAGAAUUAUCAGAGCUAUAUUAAUACAAUGUAGGACUAAUAACUCCAACAGAUUUCCUUUAUUGAAGGCAUUAUCUACCUAAUAUUAGCUAGUCUAGGGCCAGAGGUUACCUCGGUUUGAGGCUUAGCUCACACGACAAUGAGCUGCAGAAAUUUUCCUCUCAGCUUGCUAUCGCUCUUGGGGUUUGGUUGUUGCAGCACCGCAGCUCACUAGCUCUCCCUCUCUUGCUCACACGCGAACUGGAGGUGGUGGUCCUGGUUGGAUGUUGCAGUUGCGGUGGAGUUGCUGGAAACGGGUGCAGCUGGUUGAGGUGAAGAAAAUGGUCACAGCUGGUGGAGGUGAAGGUGCAGAAAAGGAUUGAACUCACGCGGUGUCUCUUUCUUUCUUCCCUCAAGCUCGCAGACAGAACCGAAAAUGUGGCAGCUCGCAGUUUUCUUUCCUUGCUCUCAUAUGCAGAAUGCCGCUCUCUCUCCUUCCCCUCGGUCGAUGAUUACAAGGUGAGGAAUGUUGUUGUGGUUUGGGGCUGAGGUAAAAAUGGAGAGGAAAUGGUUUUCGGUGAGUUUGUGCAGAGAAGGAAAUGAGGUUUGGUGAAGGGUGGUGUCUCGGUAUCAAGAAAGGAAGUGGUUUGCGGUUUGCUUGUGCAGAGAAGGAAUUGGAAUUGCGGUUUGUGUUUGUGAAAUAGAGAGGAUGGUAUUUGUGGUGCCGCGAUUUAAGGAAAGGAUUGCGUAUAAGAAUUGGUUGCGUAUCGAAUUGGUAAUAGCUGCGGUGAUUGGAUUUGCGGUCUGAAGUCUUGUUUGGUUUGCAUGGAAAUGUAAGGGCAUUUUAGUCUUUUCACUUUGCUCCCUAACCUCAACUUAAUUUCUCAAUUCCAACUUAAUUCUAAAAAUUAUCCCCAAGUGUGAUUUGAACGCCUAAUUAUAACCUAAUAUACCUACACCAUUUCUAUCGAAUAAUUAUCGAUUAAACUUGGAUAUUAACGUUCCUAGUAAUUCUUAUAUUACUUAGCGAUUAAAUUAGUUAUUAGAAUUUCCAAUUAUUAUUUCUCACGAAAUAGAGUUAGUCUAACUCGAAAUGUGUGUAUAUGGAGCUCCUGGGGUCAUUAAAUUUCUCAUUGUUUUGCUAACUAUUAUCACAUAUAACAAUACACUAAUCAAAAUGCUAUCUUAUUGUUUAUGUAUAGUGCAUUAUUACAUAUAACUAUUGUUCAAAUUUUCUCUACAUAUUAACCAGUCGAUGUGUAUCACAUAUAAUCACAUAGUAGACUUUAAUGGCAUUUUCGAAAUGUGUAACUCGAAAAUGAUCAAGUCUACCAUAUACAUUAACUCGAAAUGUGUCGUUCCAUUUUCAUAUAAAAGAAAAUGGAAUUGAAGUACUCUGAGCUUAUAGCUGUGAUUAAUUAGCUAAUUACAAGAUGUUUAAGAGAUUGCAUGUGAUGAUUAAGCACUCGGAUGAUGCAAUCAAGGCAUGAGAAAAUCUGAUUCUGGGAGAAAAUGUUUCUGCCGAGAGUGGAUUAGAAAUUGCAGCUUUAUUUUUGUUCCCCUGUGACAAUCUGAGCUUAAUGCUGUGUUUAACCAAUCAUAAACAAGAAGAUUAAGCGAAUUAGGGGCAUGCAUGUAUUGUUUAUGCAGUCGGUUGAUGAAAUCAAAACUCUAGAAAAAUCUGUUUUGCAGACAAAUGAUGUUGCCGAGAACUUGUUCUGAUUAAUGCAGCUUAAUUCGGUUUAAUUAAUCACAGCUAUAAGCUCAGAGUACUUCAAUUCCAUUUUCUUUUAUAUGAAAAUGGAACGACACAUUUCGAGUUAAUGUAUAUGGUAGACUUGAUCAUUUUCGAGUUACACAUUUCGAAAAUGCCAUUAAAGUCUACUAUGUGAUUAUAUGUGAUACACAUCGACUGGUUAAUAUGUAGAGAAAAUUUGAACAAUAGUUAUAUGUAAUAAUGCACUAUACAUAAACAAUAAGAUAGCAUUUUGAUUAGUGUAUUGUUAUAUGUGAUAAUAGUUAGCAAAACAAUGAGAAAUUUAAUGACCCCAGGAGCUCCAUAUACACACAUUUCGAGUUAGACUAACUCUAUUUCGUGAGAAAUAAUAAUUGGAAAUUCUAAUAACUAAUUUAAUCGCUAAGUAAUAUAAGAAUUACUAGGAACGUUAAUAUCCAAGUUUAAUCGAUAAUUAUUCGAUAGAAAUGGUUUAAGUAUAUUAGGUUAUAAUUAGGCGUUCAAAUCACACUUGGGGAUAAUUUUUAGAAUUAAGUUGGAAUUGAGAAAUUAAGUUGAGGUUAGGGAGCAAAGUGAAAAGACUAAAAUGUCCUUACAUUUCCAUGCAAACCAAACAAUACUUCUGACCGCAAAUCCAAUCACCGCAGCUAUUACCAAUUCGAUACGCAACCAAUUCUUAUACGCAAUCCUUUCCUUAAACCGCGGCACCACAAUACCAUCCUCUCUAUUUCACAAACACAAACCGCAAUUCCAAUUCCUUCUCUGCACAAGCAAACCGCAAACCACUUCCUUUCUUGAUACCGAGACACCACCCUUCACCAAACCUCAUUUCCUUCUCUGCACAAACUCACCGAAAACCAUUUCCUCUCCAUUUUUACCUCAGCCCCAAACCACAACAACAUUCCUCACCUUGUAAUCAUCGACCGAGGGGAAGGAGAGAGAGCGGCAUUCUGCAUAUGAGAGCAAGGAAAGAAAACUGCGAGCUGCCACAUUUUCGGUUCUGUCUGCGAGCUUGAGGGAAGAAAGAAAGAGACACCGCGUGAGUUCAAUCCUUUUCUGCACCUUCACCUCCACCAGCUGUGACCAUUUUCUUCACCUCAACCAGCUGCACCCGUUUCCAGCAACUCCACCGCAACUGCAACAUCCAACCAGGACCACCUCCAGUUCGCGUGUGAGCAAGAGAGGGAGAGCUAGUGAGCUGCGGUGCUGCAACAACCAAACCCCAAGAGCGAUAGCAAGCUGAGAGGAAAAUUUCUGCAGCUCAUUGUCGUGUGAGCUAAGCCUCAAACCGAGGUAACCUCUGGCCCUAGACUAGCUAAUAUUAGGUAGAUGAUGCUGAUUAAAAGCUUGCAUGUAACGGUUAGCCACUUGGAUGAUGGGUUAAGGCACCAGAAAUUCUGAUUAUGAAAAGAAAAUGGAAUUGCCGUGAGCUUGAAUCAGAAAUGCAGACUUGAUCAUUGCUUAUAGCUAAUAUGAGCUAUAUUAGUGUUUUGCUAACGACUUUAAUGGUAUGAUUAGUAGACUUUUAAGAAUUGAGAAAUAAUGGAGCUAAUGCACUAUACAUAAACAAUGAGAUUGCAUUUUGAUUAGUGUAUUGUUAUAUGUGAUAAUAGUUAUAUGUGAUUGUAAAGUCUACUAUACACUAAUCAAUUAAAGUCUACAUAUUUGAUGCUGUGGGUUAUUAAUAGGAAAAUGAUAAUCUUAAUUCCUUUAAUCGUUAUUGAUGCUGUGGCGACUCCACUUCCCCCUAAGGCGAACCAAAGGGUUGGCGGGCCGUCCCAUGCAUGAAUCACCUACAUUUGAGAUUCCUACCCAACAUACAUAUCUAAUAUCCCCAACCAUAGACUUUUUGUUCCACACCUAACAAGCCAAUCCCCACAGUCCGAGAACCUUUUCCCGGUUUGAGCUCGAUAAGAGCUCUGAUACCAACUGUGACGCCCCCCACUUUUCCCCAGGGCGAACCCAAGGGUAUCCGCGGGACGCCUGCCCAGCUCUCGCCAGGACUCAAGACAAAUCAAAUCGAACUUAACGAUGCAUACCAAAUACUACGAGUCAAAAUAAAGAAAAGUCGCUUCCUUAACUAAAUAUUUAAAUCUUACAUCAUGUCCACAAAAGAUACAUCAAGUUCCAAAAUGCAACCAUUAAAAGUCGACUACACAUUUAAUACAUAUGUAAUGGAGAAAAUGCCAUUAAAGUCUACUAUACACAAAUCAAUUAUAUAAUAAUUGAUUCCAAUUAUUAUAUGGAGAUUGCAACGAGUUAGCUACACUUGAUCAUUGUUGAAGCUAUAUUAGUCAUUGGAGGUAUGAUUCUUUCUUUUAUUUGUCUAUCUAAGGUUCUCAGUGACCUAGUACCGUACACACUUUUUGCAAAACCCUAGAUUUAUAAGAUAGAAUCAAAGUUUGACUACUAAUUGGGUAAAUAGAAAUUGUGAUAUAUGGAUCGGAGGGUGUAAGUUAGUGAUUAAUUUGAAAGGCAUGACUCUUAAGGGGUAUGACUAUUAUCCAAAGUGUGAAUUUCGAGGACGAAAUUCUUUUAAGGAGGGGAGGAUGUGAGGACCCGAAAUUUUUUAUUUUUUAUUUUAUCGAAUAUUAGUAGUUUGUUUAAAUAUUUAUUUACUCAUUUUUCUUCAAAUUAUUUAUUUCGAUCAUUUAAAAUCUAUUUAUAUGGAACGACGCCUCUUUUAUAUUUUUAAAAGCGUUUUGUUGAAAAAAUUCACUUUUCGAAAACUCGUUUAGUUCGGAACAACGAGUGCACGUUUUUCGAGACUAUAUUUGAAUCGAGAGUGUAUUAAUAUUGGAGAAUUAAGAACGAUCAAUAAUAGAUUAAGAAAGGUUAAUUGAGGAAUUAAUACUCAAUUCACGUGAGUACUCGUAAAAUUAUUAUUUUUAAACCCCUAAUUUUGGCUCAAUUAAUUAUCUAUUUGGAUUUUUGCCCCGAAUAUUAUUUUCUAUCCUUAUUAGACCUAAAUAUAUGGUUUUAUAGUUUCGUUAUAUUUUUAAAGUGUCUCGUUUCAAAAAUUAUUUUCUUAGAAGCUUGUUUAGUGAAAAAGUGAAAACGUGUCUGAAAACUUUAGCCAAUUAGGAGUACAAUAAGCUCGGAAAUUUGGAGACAUGUACAAUGGUUCUAAAAUAGGUAAAUUUAGAUUUAAGUACUCAAGUGAUAGUUGGUGGUACGAUCGUUAUAAGAAUUUCUCGAAAGUUUCAUUUUAUUGCGCCUAAAUUGGGAAUACGUGUUUUCACGUUUGGACCAUUAUUUUGGGACAAUUAAGAAUGAAUAAUAUUUAUAUGAAUGUAAGUGCCCUAGAGGUUUAGUGCACUAGUGUAACAAACGUAAGAGAAAUCGAACAUGAAACGUGCGCGUAGGGCACUAGUUGUAAUUGAUUUGACGUAUUUAAAAUAUUAGACGUCAAGCGUCUUUUGUACGCAAAGGAAACCAGAACCGCAUCUCAUUUCUUCUAGCUGCAAUGGACGGAUAGCUUCAGCCGUAACAGCUUCACCAUUCCUUCUACAAAUUCACCAAAUCACUACCAAAGCCUCCAUAGAUUCAACCAAAACUUCACAUACACUUAACUCUACACUUGGACAACACCUUAAGCUGAAAAAGGGAGGAGCUUCACGGUUUUCUUCAGGCUUCAAAGGGACCGAAAUUUUCUGAUUUGAACAACCAUCAAAGUAGGUAAUGAUCAACUACCUUAAACUUGUCUUAUGGAGGUUGAUUUAUGCAUUUGAGCUGAAAUCUUCACUUUAGUAGCUUGUAUUGUUGGAAAAAAAGUGGCUCUAUGAAUUCCCACUCUUGGGUUGUUGCUGAUUUUGUGCUUGAUGAAGUUUAUGAUAUCGGAUCAGUGUUUAAGUUAGUGAUUUGUUGAAGGAAAACUGCUGGAAACUCACGUUGAGUGCAAUGGCCAAGUUUGACCAUUUUGCCCCUGGUUGUUCGGCCACUUUACUGCAGAUAUUUGAGGAUUUAAUGGCUUGAUUGUGUUGUUUACAUGUUGUAGAAGUUGUGUACAAAAUUUCGUUGAAAAAUAUUGAGUUUUGGUUGAUCAAAAGAAUUUAUUUUCCAAAGUUAGUAAUCUGGAAACGGUUGCCGUCGUAACCAGACAAGUGUUCGUGUUUCGUCCAUAACUCCGUACUCCGAUGUCGAAAUCGAGUACCGUUAGCGGCAUUUGAAACUAGACGUUCCCAUGUUUCCAACGGUGUAUAAUGUACAUUCUGGUUCCAUGUGUGUGAACCGCACCAUUCAUCUGAAUUCAGCUGUCCUGUUUCUCCGUUCUGCCGAAAUGAUUUGAUGAUGCUGCGACUUUAGGCUUAAUUUCGAACCAGUUGCAUGCUGAAACUUGAAACGAUUUCUUCUGUGAAAUUUUAUCCCUGUGAAUUUAUUUUCUAACACUAUCAACCAUUCCCAAUUCCGAGUUAAAUUAAGGGAGUUAUGAUCAAAAUACGGCGACUGCCUCAUUUUUUAAAAUCUUAGAUUUGGACAGAUUGCCUUAAGGAUUUUUCCAAACUUUGGUCGAUUGAUUAACCACCUUCCCGAAGGUAUUUUUCCAUGAAAUUUGAUAGGGAGAUACCUUUCAUAUAGGAGUAUUAUACUUAAAAAUUUGGUAUCAAUCCAAGUUCGUUUCGACACUUAACUAAAAGUCCAAAGUCGGAACCAAAUCUGGAAAUUUGUUAACAGUCUUGAAAUUUACCCAACUUUGAGCUACCAUAUCUUGGUGCUCGAAACUCCGAUUCUCGAUCCGCUUGUUCUGUCCUAAACCUUACUUGCACCUCUAAUUGAGCUACAAAUUUCAAGGGCUGGUUUGCAACGAGUGAAUUCUGCUGAAUUUUCAAAGUUAGCAAAAAACCAACCCCGACUCAAUCCUGGGUGAUUUGGAACAGCAACUUUAAGCUCAUUUUUGAACACCUUCCACUUAGAUUCAUGGAAAAGUGUCUUCUAAGAACUUUUAGUACUUUGGAAUAGGUUUCCAACGGUACCAAGUUUUCCAAUUUUUGACAUGUGGAAUCUGAGAUACGAUUUUUUUCAAAAUAUCGUAUCAAAACUGAAAUUUUCUGAAUUUCAAGGAAAUGGAGUUUUUCAAGUAUUCCUUAUUCUUUCGAUAAUACUUGAAUGUUUAUGCUUGAUUUCCAAGAUAACAAAACUCGAUUGCUCUUGUACAUUAAGAAACUCCACUUGAACCUCGAUUUACUAGUAAUUGAGGUUCAUUUUCAUGAAAUUUCCCCAGAUUGUACUAGUGCACAAUCUUCCUUGAUAAUUGGGAUGUGUGAAUGAUAAUUCACUAUUAAAUGCUCAGGCGCUCAAGAGGACCUUCCAGAGGAUCUCACUGGAGACGCCUAAACCAUCAUUUGAACUCGCUACUUGAAUCACUGUGAGUGUCAAGUGCAUGAACUUGUUGUUAAGUGGUUAUCUGUUUCUUAUCCGUUAUGUAAAUUUGAAAUUUUGAGACGAGGGUGUACUUUAUCGCACUCGUUCUCUUUCAAAUGAAAUUAUAUUCGAAUUUUGCUAUGUGAAUUCGUAUCCGACUUGUACAUGGUAAUGUGGAUGUGAUUUGUACUUGUGAUUCGUAUAUGUGAUCCGUAUUUGUGAUUCCUAUUUGGAAUCGUCGAUUUGUGCGUUGCUCAUCGACUUAUAUUCGUAUUCGUAUUCAUAUUCGGGGGACGCCCAAAACUCGUUGGCUAACUUUGCGAAUCGAGCCAGUAUGGGCUUGGUCGAUAAGCUUAGCAAACCAUGAGAUAUUCGUAGAGUAUGAUCUAUUGGAGAGAUCUUGCUCGGCAUUACUCGUGCAGUAUUGCCAUGAUAUACUUGAGUAUUAUCAAAAACUUUGAUGAGCGGGCCCGGUAAGGGGGUGUAACGGUGACGGGAUUCGAAGAAAAGUGGUGUAUCUACGGAUUUGAUACUUAUGUGGUUGACGGAGUGUCAACGUGAGAUGUGAUCAAGAUUUCGACUCGACUACGUGAAAUUUAGCUCCUGAUAGCUACAGUAUCCUUGAAUUAUUUCUGUUUAUUUUUCCUAUUCGAAAUGUGAAUUAUUCGAAUUUGAUAGCCUUACCUAUAAUGUAAUUGUUGUUGCUACUUGGAUUAUGUGUUUGCAUGUGUGUUUUCUUGGCCUCACUGAGUAUUGGCUCAUCCUAUUAGUUUGUUUUCCUUAACAGGUUGGAUUGGAAGAUUUUGGUAAAGCCGACUAGAUUAUACUUUUGAUUGGAAUCGGGGCUGUAAAUGUGUAGUCGACUUUUAAUGGUUGCAUUUUGGAACUUGAUGUAUCUUUUGUGGACAUGAUGUAAGAUUUAAAUAUUUAGUUAAGGAAGCGACUUUUCUUUAUUUUGACUCGUAGUAUUUGGUAUGUAUCGUUAAGUUCGAUUUGAUUUGUCUUGAGUCCUGGCGAGAGCUGGGCAGGCGUCCCGCGGAUACCCUUGGGUUCGCCCUUGGGAGAAGUGGGGGGCGUCACAGUUGGUAUCAGAGCUAUAAGUCUACUAUAAGGCUUAAUCUACUAUACACAUAUAACUUUAUAUGUAGCUAUUAACAUACGAUUUUAAAACUAAGAAACAUAGUUACUUGGACGGUUAUUAACUAUUAUAUUAACUCGAAAUGUGUGUAUAUGGUCGAGAGUGCAAAGCUGCAAGUUAGAGACUUUCAUGCUAAGAAGAGGGGCACUUCUAGUAACCCUUCGGGACAGGCAGAUAAGAGUGCCCCACCUUUUAAAAAGGGAAAAGGAACGGGUGAAGUGGAGAUAUCUAACAUGCCAAAAGGGACUCAAUCAAGAGGAGAUCGCAAUGGACGAGGUCAAUCGAGAGGGACACCUCCAAGUGGUCAAUCUGUGGCUCCCCAAGUCGUUUGUGGUUUUUGUGGCAAGCUCAACCAUACAGAGAAUGAUUGUUUUAGGAAACAAGGGAAGUGCUUGUAUUGUGGUAGUACCGAGCACCAGAUAUCGAAAUGCCCGACCGUACCUAAAGAAGGCGGUAAUACCCAAAGGCCUGAAAAGUCAGCCGCUAAGCAGCCUAGUGUUGGAGGAAGUCGAUCUAAUGCACCAGCUAGGGUUUAUGCAUUAACAUGUUUCCGAUUCUACUAAAGUCAUUGGAGGUAUGAUUCUUUCUUUUAUUUGUCUAUCUAAGGUUCUCAGUGACCUAGUACCGUACACACUUUUUGCAAAACCCUAGAUUCAUAAGAUAGAAUCAAAGUUUGACUACUAAUUGGGUAAAUAGAAAUUGUGAUAUAUGGAUCGGAGGGUGUAAGUUAGUGAUUAAUUUGAAAGGCAUGACUCUUAAGGGGUAUGACUAUUAUCCAAAGUGUGAAUUUCGAGGACGAAAUUCUUUUAAGGAGGGGAGGAUGUGAGGACCCGAAAUUUUUUAUUUUUUAUUUUAUCGAAUAUUAGUAGUUUGUUUAAAUAUUUAUUUACUCAUUUUUCUCCAAAUUAUUUAUUUCGAUCAUUUAAAAUCCAUUUAUAUGGAACGACGCCUCUUUUAUAUUUUUAAAAGCGUUUUGUUGAAAAAAUUCAAUUUUCGAAAACUCGUUUAGUUCGGAACAACGAGUGCACGAGUUUUAUACUAAUGGUAUACUUAGAUUAUAUGAUUAAUUUAAUCUUGAUAGGACAUAUAUGGAACAUAUAGAUUACAAUCCAUCAAUCUAAGUAUUAUAAUCUUGAUACAGCAUUAAAUCUAAGUAUUAAUUUAUGUAUACUUAUGUAUAUAGCUUAUGUAUACUUAAUGAUACACUUAGUAUACCAUAGGACAAUUUAACAUAUAAUCAUUAUGAUCAUUAAUUUAUAAUCUAAUUUACAAUCUAAUUUGUAUUAAAUUAAUACCAUAUAGAUUAAUGGUAUACAUAAGCUAUACUUAAGUAUACCAUAUAAUCUUAAUGAAACACUUAAUAUAAUCUAAGUAUACCAUUAAUAUAAUCAUAUCAAUCUAAAUAUACCAUUAUCUACUAUAAUCGUAUAUGAGUAGGGACAUAAUCUAUAUAAUACACAUAGAUUAUAAAUAUAGAUUAUAAUCGUAUAGUGUACCAUUAUCUACUAUAAAUGUAUAUGUUACUAAAUGGAACUAUAUUGUUUUAUAAUCAUUAUAAUCUGUGUAACUCAAGAUUGGCUUAGUCUAAAAUUCUUGAGUUUAUAUGAACCAGUUAAUGUGUGUAUAUGUACUUGAGGAUUUAAGGUUAUAAUGGCUUUGAUACUUGUUAUACUCUUUGAUAACUCAUUAAAAUUAUACGCUUAAAUUAUAUUAUAUGUAUGCACUCAUAUCAAUUCUUGAUUUAGCUGGGGUGAUGCUAGUGUUGAGGUCAUUGCAUUUUUUUGUAUGACUACAUGCAGUCUACUUUAUACGAGGAUAACAGUCUUGAAAUUUGGUAUAAUGUGUACUACUAAUAUACACAUUAUAGUUAACUUGACACUCACAGUGAUUCAAGUAGCGAGUUCAAAUGAUGGUUUAGACGUCUCCCGUGAGAUCCUCUGGAAGGUUGGCGACCCCAGAUUGAAACUCAAGAUGUGAUACAAUUCCUGGAUAAAGUUAGUUCAAAUUAUAAGGGGUAUAUUACUAAUGGUAAUGUAUAUUUAGCUAUACUUAUAUUAUGUACGAAUCUAUGGAGGUUUGGUUGUGAUUUUUGUGAGAUUUGUAGAAGGAAAUGGUGAAGAGCUGCGGCUGUGCUAUCCGUCCAUUGCAGUAGCAGAAAUGAAAUGUGAUUCGGAUGCCUUUGCGUACAAAAGACGCUUGACGUCUAAUAUUUUAAGUACGUAAAAUUUUAAUUGCAACUAGUGCCCUACGCGCGCGUUUUGUGUUCGAUUUCUCUCACGUUUGUUGCACUAGUGCACUAAACCUCUAGGACCCGCGUUAGUCAUGUAUUGUUACAUGACUAACUGUGAGUAUAGUAGAUUAUAUAGUAACAUAAUUAGAGUGAAAUACUUAAUACCAGAUUAAUGGAGAAUGUAUAUGUGUAUUUAUAAUCUAUGUGUAUUUAUAUGUACAUAAACUCGUAUUAUGUUACCAGAAAUAAUCCUAUGUCAGAGUUGGUAUCAGAGCUCUUAUCGAGCUCAAACCGGGAAAAGGUUCUCGGACUGUGGGGAUUGGCUUGUUAGCUGUGGAACAAAAAGUCUAUGGUUGGGGAUCACAUAUAAAGUUUAUUAACGAUUACUAUACGUUACAUAUAGUCGACAUAUGUUAAUCACGAUUUGUAUAAUUACAAAUCUAUAAUAACAGCAUAAUCGUAUACACAUAAUACGAUUAUAUAAUAUUAAAGUUGACCCUGUCUACACAUUUACAGCCCCGAUUCCAAUCAAAAGUAUAAUCUAGUCGGCUUUACCAAAAUCUUCCAAUCCAACCUGUUAAGGAAAACAAACUAAUAGGAUGAGCCAAUACUCAGUGAGGCCAAGAAAACACACAUGCAAACACAUAAUCCAAGUAGCAACAACAAUUACAUUGUAGGUAAGGCUAUCAAAUUCGAAUAAUUCACAUUUCGAAUAGGAAAAAUAAACAGAAACAAUUCAAGGAUACUGUAGCUCCAGGAGCUAAAUUUCACGUAGUCGAGUCGAAGUCUUGAUCACAUCUCACGUUGACACUCCGUCAACCACAUAAGUAUCAAAUCCGUAGAUACACCACUUUUCUUCGAAUCCCGUCACCGUUACACCCCCUUACCGGGCCCGCUCAUCAAAGUUUUUGAUAAUACUCGAGUAUAUCAUGGCAAUACUGCACGAGUAAUGCCGAGCAAGAUCUCUCCAAUAGAUCAUGCUCUACGAAUAUCUCAUGGUUUGCUAAGCUUAUCGACCAAGCCCAUGCUGGCUCGAUUCGCAAAGUUAGCCAACGAGUUUUGGGCGUCCCCCGAAUAUGAAUACGAAUACGAAUAUAAGUCGAUGAGCAACGCUCAAAUCGACGAUUCCAAAUAGGAAUCACAAAUACGGAUCACAUAUACGAAUCACAAGUACAAAUCACAUCCACAUUACCAUGUACAAGUCGGAUACGAAUUCACAUAGCAAAAUUCGAAUAUAAUUUCAUUUGAAAGAGAACGAGUGCGAUAAAGUACACCCUCGUCUCAAAAUUUCAAAUUUACAUAACGGAUAAGAAACAGAUAACCACUUAACAACAAGUUCAUGCACUUGACACUCACAGUGAUUCAAGUAGCGAGUUCAAAUGAUGGUUUAGGCGUCUCCCGUGAGAUCCUCUGGAAGGUCCUCUUGAGCGCCUGAGCAUUUAAUAGUGAAUUAUCAUUCACACAUCCCAAUUAUCAAGGAAGAUUGUGCACUAGUACAAUCUGGGGAAAUUUCAUGAAAAUGAACCUCAAUUACUAGUAAAUCGAGGUUCAAGUGGAGUUUCUUAAUGUACAAGAGCAAUCGAGUUUUGUUAUCUUGGAAAUCAAGCAUAAACGUUCAAGUAUUAUCGAAGGAAUAAGGAAUACUUGAAAAACUCCAUUUCCUUGAAAUUCAGAAAAUUUCAGUUUUGAUACGAUAUUUUGAAAAAAAUCGUAUCUCAGAUUCCACAUGUCGAAAAUUGGAAAACUUGGUACCGUUGGAAACCUCUUCCAAAGUACUAAAAGUUCUUAGAAGACACUUUUCCAUGAAUCUAAGUGGAAGGUGUUCAAAAAUGAGCUUAAAGUUGCUGUUCCAAAUCACCCAGGAUUGAGCCGGGGUUGGUUUUUUGCUAACUUUGAAAAUUCAGCAGAAUUCACUCGUUGCAAACCAGCCCUUGAAAUUUGUAGCUCAAUUAGAGGUGCAAGUAAGGUUUAGGUCAGAACAAGCGGAUCGAGAAUCGGAGUUUCGAGCACCAAGAUAUGGUAGCUCAAAGUUGGGUAAAUUUCAAGACUGUUAACAAAUUUCCAGAUUUGGUUCCGACUUUGGACCUUUUAGUUAAGUGUCGAAACGGAACUUGGAUUGAUACCAAAUUUUGCAGUAUAAUACUCCUAUAUGAAAGGUAUCUCCCUAUCAAAUUUCAUGGAAAAAUACCUUCGGGAAGGUGGUUAAUCAAUCGACCAAAGUUUGGAAAAAUCCUUAAGGCAAUCUGUCCAAAUCUAAGAUUUUCAAAAACGAGGCAGUCGCCGUAUUUUGAUCAUAACUCCCUCAAUUUAACUCGGAAUUGGGAAUGGUUGAUAGUGUUAGAAAAUACAUUCACAGGGAUAAAAUUUCACAGAAGAAAUCGUUCCAAGUUUCAGCAUGCAACUGGUUCGAAAUUAAGCCUAAAGUCGCAGCAUCAUCAAAUCAUUUCGGCAGAACGGAGAAACAGGACAGCUGAAUUCAGAUGAAUGGUGCGGUUCACACACAUGGAACCAGAAUGUGAAUUAUACACCGUUGGAAACAUGGGAACGUCUAGUUUCAAAUGCCGCUAACGGCACUCGAUUUCGACGUCGGAGUACGGAGUUAUGGACGAAACACGAACACUGGUCUGGUUACGACGGCAACCGUUUCCAGAUUACUAGCUUUGGAAAAUAAAUUCUUUUGAACAACCAAAACUCAAUAUUUUUCAACGAAAUUUUGUACACAACUUCUACAACAUGUAAACAACAUAAUCAAGCCAUUAAAUCCUCAAAUUUCUGCAUUAAAGUGACCGAACAGAGCAGGGGUAAAAUGGUCCAACUUGGCAUUUGCACUCAACGUGAGUUUCCAGCAGUUUUUCUUCAGCAAAUCACUAACUUAAACACUAAUCCGACAUCAUAAACUUCAGCAAGCACAGAAUCAGCAACAACCCAAGAGUGGGAAUUCAUAGAGCCCACUUUUUCCCAACAAUACAAGCUACUAAAGUGACGAUUCUAGCUCAAAUGCAUAAAUCAAACUCCAAAAGACAAGUUUAAGGUGAUUGAUUACUACCUACUUUGCUGGCUGGUUAGGACAGAAGUUUCGGCCCCUUUGAAGCUUGAAGAACCGUGAAAGCUCCUCCCUUUUCCAGCUAAAUGUGUUGUCCAAGACUUAGGCUAAGUGGUGCUAAAUUUUUAGGAGAUUUGGUGGUGAUUUGCACGAGCUUUGGAAGAAGAAAUGUUGAAGGUUUCGGUUGUCCCUUUUGCUGCUGCUAUCCGGCCUUGAAGCUUGAGGGAAUGAAAUGUGAUUGCUGGUUCCUUUGCGUACAUAAGACGCUUGACGUCUAAUAUAUUAAAUACGUCAAAUCAAUUACAACUAGUGCCCUACGCGCGCGUUUUGUGUUCGAUUUCUCUCACGUUUGUUGCACUAGUGCACUAAACUUCUGGGACACUUACAUUUAUAUAAAUAUUAUUCAUUCUUAAUUGUCCCAAAAUAAUUGUCCAAAGUCCCUCAAUGAAGCGCGCACGUGAAACACGUAUUUCUAAUUUAGGCGCAAUAAAAAUUGAAACCUUUGAGAAAUUCUUAUAACGAUCUUACCACUAACUAUCACUUCAAUAUUUAAACCUAAAAUUGCCUAAUUUAGGACCAUUGUAUAUGUCUUAAAUUUUGAGCUUAUUGUACUCCUAAUUGGCUAAAGUUUUCAGACACGUUUUCACUUUUUCACUAAACAAGCUUCUAAGAAAAUAAUUUUUGAAACGAGACACUUUAAAAAUAUAACGAAGCUAUAAAACCAUAUAUUUAGGUCUAAUAAGGAUAGAAAAUAAUAUUCGGGGCAAAAAUCCAAAUAGAUAAUUAAUUGAGCCAAAAUUAGGGGUUUAAAAAAAAAAUAAUUUUACGAGUCCUCACGUCAAUUGAGUAUUAAUUCCUCAAUUAACCUUUCUUAAUCUAUUAUUGAUCGUUUUUAAUUCUCGAAUAUUAAUACACUCUCGAUUCGAAUAUAGUCUCGAAAAACGUGCACUCGUUGUUCCGAACUAAACGAGUUUUCGAAAAGUGAAUUUUUCCAACAAAACGCUUUUAAAAAUAUAAAAGAUGCGUCGUUCCAUAUAAAUUGAUUUUAAAUGAUCGAAAUAAAUAAUUUGGAGAAAAAUGAGUAAAUAAAUAUUUAAACAAACUAUUAAUAUUCGAUAAAAAUAAAAAUAAAAAAUUUCGGGUCCUCACAUCCUCCCCUCCUUAAAAGAAUUUCGUCCUCGAAAUUCACACUUUGGAUAAUAGUCAUACCCCUUAAGAGUCAUGCCUUUCAAAUUAAUCACUAACUUACACCCUCCGAUCCAUAUAUCACAAUUUCUAUUUACCCAAUUAGUAGUCAAACUUUGAUUCUAUCUUAUGAAUCUAGGGUUUUGCAAAAAGUGCGUACGGUACUAGGUCACUGAGAACCUUAGAUAGACAAAUAAAAGAAAGAAUCAUACCUCCAAUGACUUUAGUAGAAUCGGAAACAUGUUGAUAGCCUAAUGCAUAAACCCUAGCUGGUGCAUUAGAUCGACUUCCUCCAACACUAGGCUGCUUAGCGGCUGACUUUUCAGGCCUUUGGGUACUACCGCCUUCUUUUGGUACGGUCGGGCAUUUCGAUAUCUGGUGCUCGGUACUACCACAAUACAAGCACUUCCCUUGUUUCCUAAAACAAUCAUUCUCCGUAUGGUUGAGCUUGCUACAAUAACCACAAACGACUUGGGGAGCCACAGAUUGACCACUUGGAGGUGUCCCUCUCGAUUGAUCUCGUCCAUUGCGAUCUCCUCUUGAUUGAGUCCCUUUUGGCAUGUUAGAUAUCUCCACUCCACCCGUUCCUUUUCCCUUUUAAAAGGUGGGGCACUCUUAUCUGCCUGUCCCGAAGGGUUACUAGAAGUGCCCCUCUUCUUAGCAUGAAAGUCUCUAACUUGCAGCCUUGCACUCUCGACUCUCUGUGCUUUUUCUAAGACUUCAGUGAACGUAGAGAUUUGGGCUGCAGCCAAACCCUCCUGGAUUUCUACAUUAAGUCCCUGCACGAACCGUCUAAUCCUCCUCCGUUCAUUGAUCACCAAUUCAGGAGCGUACUUAGAAAGCUUAGUGAACUUUCCCUCGUACUCCGCUACACUAAGGGUUCCUUGUUUCAACUUGAUGAAUUCAUCCUCCCUUUUCUCUUGGAUUAAGGGCGGAAGAAAUUUCUCAUUAAAUUCCCUUGUGAAAUUCUCCCAAGUCCACGGGGUUUGAGUUCUCUCCCAUUUUCCUCUUAUCAGAUCCCACCAAGCACGGGCUACUCCCUCAAAUUGGAAAGCAGCGAAGUUCACUCGCCUAUCUUCAGUGUAUCUAAAGCAGCGAAUAUGUUGGUCAUCCUUUCUAACCAAUUCUCCGCUACCUCAGGAUCAGGUUCGCCAAGAAAUUUAGGCGGGUUAAAUUUUAAGAACCUCUCUAAGGCUCUAUCCUCACCUCUUUCCUGACCCCCAGGUUGGUUAAACGGUCCUGGACCCUGUCUUUCAGCUAAGCGUUCUAGGAUAUCAGUCAUCCUAUUGAUGGCAGUAGCCAUUUGGUUAACCUCUAUAUUCUUAUAUGGAACGACGCCUCUUUUAUAUUUUUAAAAGCGUUUUGUUGAAAAAAUUCACUUUUCGAAAACUCGUUUAGUUCGGAACAACGAGUGCACGAGUUUUAUACUAAUGGUAUACUUAGAUUAUAUGAUUAAUUUAAUCUUGAUAGGACAUAUGUGGAGCAUAUAGAUUACAAUCCAUCAAUCUAAGUAUUAUAAUCUUGAUACAGCAUUAAAUCUAAGUAUUA